UUCAACUCUUAAUCAGGUUCCUCUGGGGCACUACUAUGCCACAGUUUCAUGAACAUCAUUAUCAAGCCUGAUUUUUGCCCUGUGGCUGCAACAAUGGACUUUUCACCUAGUACAUGUUUUCACUCUCUGAACGAAGUCACGUGUUUUCUUUUUUUCCCCCUCAGGCAGAUUUUUAAUGAAGCUUUGGAUUGGGGUGUCAGAGCAGCAAGUGGCUGGACUGGUAUUCAAACCCUGACAACUUCUUCAUGAGGCAGAAGAGUGAAGAGGGGACAGAACGCAGGUGUCAGAACACAGGUGAACGUCAGAGAGCUGGAGAGCUGACGCAGCUGCUGAAAGUUUUGAUAUUCAUUUACUCAAGCAAGGUCAUCAUGGUCCUUUACUCAAUUACAAGGUCACGGUGGAACUAACUUAGGUAUUUUUUCACUGCGUCACCAAAAUUCUUCCUCUCUAUUAUAUUACCCCUAUUCGGAAAACAUACAAACGUACCCUAAUAGUAUCUUCCUUUAGAAUUAAAUUCUUUGUCUGGUUAUAUCUGAUUUUCUGUUCCCUCCACAGGAAAACUUUCAGAAAGUUGUCUAUGUGCUGUCUCUAUAUCCUCACUUACAUUCACCU
ensembl:lncRNA